UCAGUGCAAGAUAGUCCAGUGCAAAACAAUUAAGAUGAAUACAUAAUGAAGGGGGUCAAUGUACAUUUUCUGUCUAGGAAUUUGAUUAACUGUUCAGCAGCCUUAUGGCUUAGGGGUAGAAGGUGUUCAGGUGCCUUUUGGUCACUGACUUGGCGCUCCGGUACCGCUUGCCAACAGCCUAUGACUUCGGUGGCUGGAGUUUUUGACAGUUUUUAGUGCCUUCCUCUGACACAGCCUGGUACAGAGCCAUUCUGUUAUGCUCUUGUAAAACCUCAGAAAACUUCAGUCAAUUCCAAGGUAUACAGAUAUUUUUGAUUUGAUUAAUUUUCUCUCCAGAAUGGGGUGGGGCCUGUUCCAACAAAGAUGUCCUAGAAUGCAUUUUUGAUGAUACCUGAAGAUUAAUAAAGUGUAGGAAAACUUCAAAACAUUGCAUUUCUAAUGUUUGUGGUACUGAUUUGACAGUCUGGUAAAGGCAGCAAAAACACUUUGAUAUAAAACAUACAAGCACAAGAUAUGGGGUGUAAUCAUUAGUCUAAACAGUCGCAAAACAAAUUCAGGUAGGUCCCUCCCCAUUUUGUAACAUUUGCUUCCGUUUAAGGAAAAGUUUUGCAACAGAAUAAGGGUAAUUAUAUAUGCCAAUUAAGGGACUUCUUUUUUGAUUUUGGGGGGGAAAUGCCAAGAACAACAUGACAAAGGUUUGUAAGUCGCUCUGGAUAAGAGCGUCUGCUAAAUGACUUAAAUGUAAAUGUAAAUGUAAGGUAAAGUACAUGACUAGGGAAUUUGCCAGACAACUUUUCUCCGAAGUGACCUGCUUUGUACUUUAUGAUUGGCUGACUUGCUUCUCACUGAGCCAAUCAGUACACUUUGUAACUUUUCUGUUGUAGGGCCAGAUAGGAUGUAGGUAAAAGGUCCGACAACAAAUCUUGCCAGCACCCCCUUUCCCCUCAGGCAGCAGAGGGAGGAGGACAGGCUAAGUCAAUAUUUAUGUCCUGUGAAGUGUCGAUGUUCCUGCACGUCCAGGGGAAAAAAUCCCCCCCCCCCUUUCCCUUACAGAGUAAACACAUUUUUCUACCACGUGACUGACUGACAUCUUCCUUGGCUAAAAUACUUAUUGGUUCUGGUCCAGUCUAGCCAAGGGAGGGGACAGUGAUGAAUCAGCGGAAACACAGGCUGCCGCUGCAAGCUCAGCAAAGAGAUCAGUAGGAUCAUUCGGUAUUUCCCCAAGUCCUAGAAGGAGCUUAAAUAGAUAUACAAACAUUGAAGAGGAUGACAUGUUUUAAGUUGUUAUCAGUGGAGCAGUCAGGUGACCUAGUGGUUAGAGUUUUGGGAUUGCUAAUUUGAAUCCCCCAUGCUGACAAGGCCCUCCACCAGCCGAAGCUAAGUAGUAACAUUAACAUGAUGUCUUGUAAUUGCAGUCGUUCUACUCAUAAUAUACAGGAGAAUGAUCGCUUAUGGCGAGGAUAGCUGUGCUGCAAGCCCAGCUUCAGACGCAAUCGUUAGGCAAGGGUAAUUUCAGUGAAGGAAAGGAUGAAACAGUGUCUGUGCCACCAGUAAGUACAGAUAGUAGUAUAAAUCCCCUCGCACGGGGCACAGUGUCUCCUAACCCCUCCUGUAUAAGUCUCCAGUAUUUAUGCUGUAGUAGUUUAUGUGUCGGGGGGCUAGGGUCAGUCCGUUAUAUCUGGAGUAUUUCUCCUGUCUUAUCCGGUGUCCUAUGUGAAUUUAAGUAUGCUCUCUCUAAUUCUCUCUUUCUUUCUUUCUCUCGUGGAGGACCUGAGCCCUAGGCCCAUGCCUCAGGACUACCUGGCAUGAUGAUUCCUUUCUGUCCCCAGAGCACCUGGCCGUGUUGCUGCUCCAGUUUCAACUGUUCUGCCUGCGGCUAUGGAACCCUGACCUGUUCACCGGACGUGCUACCUGUCCCAGACCUGCUGUUUUCAACUCUCUAGAGACAGCAGGAGCGGUAGUGAUACUGUCAAUGAUCGGCUAUGAAAAGCCAACUGACACUUACUCCUGAGGUGCUGACCUGUUGCACCCUCGACAACUACUGUGAUUAUUAUUAUUUGACCAUUUAUGAACAUUUUAACAUCUUGGCCAUGUUCUGUUAUAAUCUCUACCUGGCACAGCCAGAAGAGGACUGGCCACUCCUCAUAGCCUGGUUCCUCUCUAGGUUUCUUCCUAGGUUUUGGCCUUUCUAGGGAGUUUUUCCUCGCCACCGUGCUUCUACACCUGCAUUGCUUGCUGUUUGUGGUUUUAAGCUGGGUUUCUGCACAGCACUUUGAGAUAUCAGCUGAUGUAAGAAGGGCUAUAUAAAUAAAUUUGAUUUGAUCAGUAACUGGGUAA